ensembl:lincRNA Platr10 pluripotency associated transcript 10
GACAAAACCACAAUCAAAGAGUACACAUGGAGGGACCCAUGGCUCCAUCUGCAUAUGCAGCAGAAAGUUGUCUUAUCUAGCUUCAAUGGGAGGGGAGACUCUUGGUCUUAUGAAGGCUUGUUGCCCUAGCAUAGGGGAAUGCUAGAGGGGUGAGGUGGGAGUGGGUGGGUAGGUUGGGGAACACACUCAUAGAGGCAGGGGGUGGGAUGAGGUAGUUUGCAGAGGGAAGACUGGGGACUAGGGACAACAUUUGAAAUGUAAAUAAAUAAAGUAACCAAUUAAUUAAAAGGCGGGGGCUAUUAGACAUUCUUAUAUCAUCUAAAGGCCACCUGGAGCUCUGGGUUAUGUAAAUCCAAAGAGCAGGUGCUCUAGUCAAGAAAACAGGAACUCUUUGUUCAGGGAACAGCUUCAAAAGAAUGGUGAUUUAUAGAGGUAGAGGAUAUAUGUUAAUAGAGGACACUUGGCAUCUUCCUCUGGCUACUACACAUGCCCCGGGCACAUGCAGCAGCACGUACCCACUCACAGACAUAUUCACAUACAUGUAAAGAAGUAACUAAGUAGAUCCUUUAAAACUAAAACAAAGAGUUGAGUUACAGUUGAGUCUGUCAACUCAUUUACUGAAAGUCUUCUAAGAAAAGCACCAUUCUCAUAUAGAUAAUAAAGCCUCAUUUCUCUACCCCAGGUGGUCUCCAUUCUUUUUUUUUUUUUUAGCUCCUGGAUUCUAUGAUGUUCUUUUAGAAGUAUGUAGCUGCCUCUUGUGGAAGAUAGACAUGCAUGUUCUGACAGCUCAAAGAAAAAAUUAUUUAUGGA